rnacentral:rRNA from 1 species
UACGUAGGGGGCUAGCGUUGUCCGGAAUCAUUGGGCGUAAAGAGCGUGUAGGCGGCCCGGUAAGUCCGCUGUAAAAGUCAAAGGCUCAACCUUUGAAUGUCAGUGGAUACUGCCGGGCUAGAGUCCGGAAGAGGCGAGUGGAACUCCUGGUGUAGCGGUGGAAUGCGCAGAUAUCAGGAGGAACACCAGUGGCGAAGGCGGUGGUCUGGGCCGGUACUGACGCUGUAGAGCGAAAGCGUGGGGAGCGAACAGG